UUGCAAAAAACACACCGUUUAGUAGUUUAAAAAGCGUGCGCGCGGAAAACGAGACUCAAAUCUCCCCUAUGUCCCCAGAACGAACGGAGCCUUAGUGAACAAAUCUUGGAGAAGAACAAUAGUUUAUUAGUUCAGACAAAAAUGAGAGUUUUAACUUCUAUACUGAGAAAUGGAAUUUUAUACAAAACCAUAUACCUUUGAAGCAUGAAAAAAGGGGUCACUCCUAUGAUCACCAGGAAAAAGGCAACAUCAAAUGAGAUUGUAAUUUUAUAGUGAUCAAUAGGAUUUUAGUACUGACCUGAUUAUUUGACAGAGUCUCUGUUCACUUGGUAAAAGAGUUCACAAUUCAAAUUAAUCUGCUUUAGUCACUACUCAUAUUGGAACACUAUUCCAUGUAUAUACCUUGAGACAAAUUCCAGGCCUGCUGAUCAAUUAUGAAUUGACCAGCACAUUUGGACUGCAGUGAAAACAGAAGAAAAAUGAUAUCUCAGUCAAUAAAAAAGCCAACGUGUGAGAAUAGCCGGUAAAUUAGAACUAAACUGCACAUAGAUAUUAUACUGCUCUUCCUUCCUAAUAUCUGACCAUGCACUGAUUUGGCUACUCCCAAGAAUCAGAUGGGAAUGAUUAGAACAAACCACUGUGUACAACUAUGAUAUGAAGUAUAUGAACCGUUCAUAUCUAAAACUCUGCAUUGCAACAAGACUACCUGACCAAACUGAUCCAUGGAAGCAGAUCUGAAAAAUGCAUCAAGCUUAACCAAUGUAAACAAAGAAAAACAAAUCGAAUGGGAUGCUCAUCAGUCGGGAUAACACCAGAUAAAAUAUGACAUGCUCACAGCCAUCAAGAAAGAAUGUUGAUGGCAGCGGCAUGCAUGCCAGGAGAUACUUAACGAUCUUCUCCACCAAGAAACAGCACAACCCAUGUCAUAAUUAACAUGCAGCAUGGAUCUGGCUAGGCCAUUGAAUGAAGAGUACCCUGAGCUAAAUCUUAGCAAGAGGGAAAUAUAUUAGGUACGAAUAAAGGUUUUAUCCUAAUGAAAUUAUGUUGCUAGGCUAUCGAGAAAAAUAAAUUGUAUUUACCAUUAGCUUCCAGGUGUUGAUAAUCCAUCAAUAUAUGCAUAUUUCCAUCCAAAUAGUUCCUUUUUGAAUAUCUUCUGUUGUUUUUUGAUAUCUUCCACUAAAUUGAUGCAAGAGGAAAUACUAAUAGUGAUUCUCAUAGGUAAAUUAAAAACAUCUUUUUACAUUGCACUAACUUUACUUGACAACUCAUAUGUUUUUAAUAUGCAGAGCUAGCUGACGAUGAUGCCGACGACACCGCCGGUGACUCGCAGCAGCGGGCGCGCGCCUCUCCACACUCCAGCGAGCGUGCUGGUGGGCGCGCCUGCAACCACCGCCAUCAUCUCGUCCAACCCCUCAACCAUACUGAGGUCCGCAUUCCCAUCCACCAUUCCGAUGGGUCCGAUGCAGCGGCGGCAACGGAGGGUGAUGAUCGAAGAGCUCGGUCCGACGAUAACGACGGCUGCGCAGAUGAUCGGGAUUUGAGGGAGGUUAUGGUUUAUGGAGGGGGGCGGUGGCGCGAUGGAGAGGAAGGGGGCGAAGCGAGGGACAGCACAAUACGGAGGGAGGACAACCGGAGAAGAAGGCGCGGGUUGGGCGGGAUGGGAAGGCAGCGCGUCGGUGGGGUGAGGAGGCGGCGCGCCGAGGAGGAAGGAUGGGGGGCUGGGGAGUGCGAUGCGGAAUUACAGAUCGGAGAGAGAGGGAGCGCGAUGCGGAUCGGGGAGAUGAGAAGGGGUGCGACGGGUGGAUCGUGGGAGAAAAUCUCAUCCGCUGAUGCCUGUGAGAGGAUCCUCCGAUGAAUGUUAACCAUUCGAUCGUUCAGGACUCACCACCACCACUACGAAUUUUUUAAGUAGUAAAGAAAUAGAGCGAUAAAAGAAUUCACAUGAUCUUGUUAACGAUGUUGGUGUGGAGCCCCCAAUAUUGGUAUCCAUGUCUUAAUGUGUGUAAGCCAGCUAAACAAUCCUCACAGCAUGCUUCACAUAAAGAGUAAUAAAAGGUUAGCUACAUUUGAAGUGUUUUGCCACACUGAGUUCCAAAUCAAUUUUUGGCCAUGUACACAUAAAAUUUGCUUUUCCAUAUAUGUAUGAGGGCCAGAUAAAAUAAUCAAGUGUCUCAACAGCAGUAUGUUUUUUAGAGUAUGAUUAACAUUAUGGUUUUUAGAGCAUGAUAAUUGCAACAAUUAAAUAAUUGCCAACUUUUUGGGCUGCAUGAGUGUCUAGACUGAAUCCAAUCUUAAGCAAAAGGGUAAGCAAUUUUCCCUUGCUAAAGUAAAAUUUUUCCAUUAGAAAUUACUGAGGGAAUCGAUUUCAUAAUUGCCUGCAAAUUGCUUUAAAAAUAAAAAGGGUGGUCAGAUGCCAUUCCUUUUAUGAACAUUUCCUUUUUUUUUCUCCUUCCCUGAUAGCACAUAUGUGUUUUCUUUAUGAGAUUCCCUUGAAAAUGAGAACGUAAAAUGAUCUAGAUAUAACCAAAAUACCCAUCCAAACAUGCCAAAAAGAAAAUGAAAUAUUAAAGAUUCCUAAGCUCGAAGAAUCUACUCACUGAUAACGUAGGAUAAAAAAAAAACUCACAGGUGUAACUAUAAUGGUAUAUCAGUGACCAAUCCCAGAGAAAAGAGACGUGAACUUCACCCACGAUAUACAUGUAUGGAUGCACCUUAGCAUAGCAUAGUGAAUCAGUACAGGUUGUGCUUAGGUAUUUACUGAAAAUCCUUAAUAUUAUCAACAAUAUACAUGUUGUUACAAGCAUUUCUCUUAGCAAUUCAGUGUACGAACUGUAGUUCACAUCCUUGUUCAUUUCGUUAUAUCAAGCAAGAAAUUUGUGAACGAAAAAGGAAGUUAACGCUAUUUUAUAAAUUCAGAUAAAUGAUCGAUUUGACAUGUUCAGAGUAACAGUUUACUCUAGUUUGAUACACUUCAUUGGAAAAAAAAAGAUCCAAUGAUCAUGAAGACAAUAACCAAUUUAAAAUCUUACUGCUUGCACAUAAUUUUACAAGGAAAAUAAGAGCAAUUCUAUAUUAUCAGGAAAUGGAUUGAAUACCAAUGGCAUUAAUAUGACACAUAAACUGUUGCAAGCUUCAGUUAUGAUGUCAGUAAUAGAAGGGAAUGAACCUUCAGGAUCAGGGCUCUCAGGAUGAGCAAGGAAAAACACCGUCUAGGCAAGCUUGUUCAAGCACUCCUUAAUCAGCACGAUCAACAAGUUGCAUUUUUUUCUAAGACUUUAGUCCAAUUGAGGAUAGAUCAAGAAGAGGAAGGAGCUCGCAUUGUACCAGGGCAGAGAGGACUGCCGACGCUGAUAUUGUAGGACUGACUGUGGCGCUCGGAAUCAUUUGUAAUCAUAAGCAAAUUAAUAAGCUACGUGGAUGUGGUUGUUGUAAUUUAUUUGGAGUAAUCAGUUUAAUUUAAUCACAGACACAUUGUGAAAUUACACGUUUUUUGGAUGCCCUAUAGCAAAUUUUGCUAUCUAGAAUAGAAACUGAAUGACUGAGACGUGAAUCCUAACAGCCCACACAACUCCCUUGUUACGAAGUAUUCGGCACAUGACAUCAGCACAAAGAGAAAUCUGCUUGUAUGUCCAAGGUACUGUAGGUUCAAAGAAAGAAAUUCUUGACUGGAUGUCUACAAUUUAACCCUUUGCAUGGUGCAGUAGAAAUGUUUAUAGACCAUUUAGCGAAGAUUGAUCCAUGCAGGAGACAUUUGCACUAUUUGUAAGGGGUAAUCAUGAUGGAAGGAAAUUACCUUUACCAAACAGAAAUUUAGUAGAAUCAGCCAAAAAUCUCCUUGAUUGUGCAGUAAACAAUAGCAAUUGGCAUGGUGUCCAGUCAGCUUUGCUUCGACAAUCUGAACUUUUUUUCCCUACAUAUUAAAUAAUUUGAUAUCAAAGGUUAAGUCAGUUUGCGAGAUAUAAGUUUUUUUUUUUUUUAAAAAAAGAAGUGUACCAUCACUUCAGAGACAACUGUGAUAGUUAAUCUACAUACAAAAUUAAGUUUGAGGGACACAGAACUGAGUAUGAAUGCUUAGCACUUCGAUCAGACUCCACAACACACUAUACACACUUAAGUUGACAGAAUUGCAUCUCCUAUAGGAUUUGCAGAAAAAACAGAGGAAUGAAUGUAUAGCACCUGCAGAUUGGUGUAUUCUCAAAUGAUCCUACAGGUAAAUCACAGGAGGCCUCUCAUCUGCAUGACAGAAGAGAUAGAUUGCUUUUAGUAAGUAAACUGAAUAAUAAUUUUUUAACACCACAAAUUGCAAAAUACAGGAUUGGUCCAAUCACUUGGAUGGUCAACAAAUGAGAAAACUGCAUGCCAGAUGGAUACCUUGUUGAUCUAACCACAAUAUAGAGCACUCAAGAAAUCUAGAACGCUGCUCGAUGAAAUGUGUAUGUGCUGCCAACCAGACCUAGCAACUCCUACUUACUUCUAGGUCGUCGGCGACGCGGGCGCGGGUGUUCCAGAGGUGGCACGGAGGAGAUUGGUGGGGUGGCCCUCGCUGGCGACGCGGAUGGGAGAGAUCGGCGUGGGCGGAGCAGAUUGGUGAGGGAGUACCGACGGUGGCACGGAGGAGAUCGGCACGGUCGGAGCAAAUCGGUGGAGAGAUCGGCUCGGGCGAAGGAGAUCGGAGGACGACGACCCUGGCAACUCCUGUUCAGCCGUGGUGGAAGACGGCGAUGGCGGCGACGAGGACGGCGGGGGCGAUCGAUGGCGGCGGCAGUGGGGGAGCGAUCUGGUGGAGGACGGCGUGGGCGGCGGGGAGGAUCGAUGGCGGCGGCAGCGCGGGACGGUGGGGGAGGACGGUGGGACGGCGGGGAGGAACAGCUAGUCGAGGAGGACGGCGAGGGCGAGCGGGCGAGAGGAAGGACGGCGAAAAGCGAGCGGGCGCGCGGAAGCCGGAAAGCCAGGGCGGAGAGAAGCGGAUGCAGCGCGAUUGGAGCGCGAUGGUGUGGACGGAUAGGAGCGUUUGGAGCGUCGAUUUGGUGGGAGGAUCCUCCGAU
rnacentral:lncRNA from 1 species